rnacentral:rRNA from 1 species
AGAGUUUGAUCAUGGCUCAGAAUCAACGCUGGCGGCGUGCCUAACACAUGCAAGUCGAACGAGAAAGUGGAGCAAUCUAUGAGUAAAGUGGCGUACGGGUGAGUAACACGUGACUAACCUACCCUUGAGUGGGGGAUAACUUCGGGAAACCGAGGCUAAUACCGCAUAAUACCUUCGGGUCAAAGGAGUAAUUCGCUUAAGGAGGGGGUCGCGGCUGAUUAGCUAGUUGGUAGGGUAAUGGCCUACCAAGGCAAUGAUCAGUAUCCGGCCUGAGAGGGCGCACGGACACACUGGAACUGAAACACGGUCCAGACUCCUACGGGAGGCAGCAGUGGGGAAUUUUGCACAAUGGGGGAAACCCUGAUGCAGCAACGCCGCGUGGAGGAUGAAGUCCCUUGGGAUGUAAACUCCUUUCGACCGGGACGAUAAUGACGGUACCGGUGGAAGAAGCCCCGGCUAACUCUGUGCCAGCAGCCGCGGUAAUACAGAGGGGGC